UAAAUAAGGAGAUAAACUGCAGGCUUUGCAGUUUAGUAAAUAAACAACAGAUCUUCACAGUACUUAGAGGUGAUAACAGUCCCCAAUGUCCUCUCAGUUCGAGAGUCACCAUCAAGAUGCUGCAGAUAAUCGCAGUUCCGACCCUAGAAGUCCACAUGUCGAGAGGCUGCGUCGAAGAUAUCGCGGUCAAUCGCUUUUAUAUGCGUCAUUGAACACACCAGCGUGGCUUUUUCUAUAUCCUUCCCGAAGAAUCCAGCAGCUAGGGAAAGUACAAGUUGAACAGGUAGCGCACGCUCAGACGAACUGUCUCGCGCGCCGCCAGCCAGCGAUAAUCAAAACUGGCGGGAAAAACAUGCUAGAACGUUCUGCGCGCCCCGAUUGGCUGACCCAGUUGUGACGCCACAGCCGUUCCUUCCGCCUGCUGGCUGCACGCGUGUUGCGUGCUAUAUCGUGUCGUUGCAAACAAAGCAAGAUUUUCCGAUCUGCCGUUUCAAUAUAUAUAUAUAUAUAUAUAUAUAUAUAUAUAUAUAAAAAGGCCUACCAUGCCAAAAUCAUAUUUAUCCCCACCUACUUCUACAUCCAGUAACCCAAAUCCAGGAUUCGAAAAAGGGCGGCCAAGGACGCAUACAGGCCAGCGGCCUGGCUUUCAGCAACUCCCAAUCCUCUGCUUCUCAGGAAAAAUAAAUCAAACUCCCACUAAUGUAAAUAUCCCGCUUCCUUGCCCCAGUGUUGCUGGACUCACCCCCCCCCCCUCCCAGGCUAUCAUCACCCUUCUUUCUGUGAAAAAAAUAUAAAAAUAUCUUUAAAAAAUAUUUAAAAAAAUUAAAUAUAAAAUUAUUAAGAAGAAUCGCACAAAAAAAGAUUAUAAAGUAUUAAAUAAAAAAAAAUAUAAUUAAUAUUGCAGGAUCUGGGCAUCUUGGGGUCAGCUUGGGAAAGGUUCAGGGCUGUGGUGAAGCUGGUGUUCUGCCUGAAGAUGGUGAUUUUAACACCCCCACCAUGGGCUUGUGGCUUGCCCAUAUGCAUGCUGGAGUCUGGCUUGGUAUUGGUGGAGUCAAGUCAAACACCAUAGGUCAAUGGCUUGAUACAUGGAAGGGGUGUCUAAGUCCAUUUUGGACUCUGGCUUGGGUUCAAGUCAGCCACCAUGGGACAUGUGGCUCGACCACAAGGAAGGGGUGCUAAGUCCAUCUCAGACUAGCUUGGUAGGGCCAGGUCAUCCACCACAGUUCAGUGGCUUGACCACAGGGAAGGGGCGUCUGAGUCCAUCUGGGACUCUGGCUUGUUGCUGUCAAGGUUGAAGGCGGCCUCAGGCUCCAUCUCUACACUUCAAAAUUACUAGAGGUUGGCAGCUUAGAUGGGGAAAGGUGAGACAUGGUUAGGUUAGGUAGGGUUCUGGGUGAUUUUGGCAUACUGUGGUCACGAGGUGUCCUAACAAUAUCAACAAUUGGAUUCUAACAACAAAAAUCGUGGUAUCUAGUGCAUUUGUUAUAGCAUGGGGUUCUACUGUAUUGUACUAUCAGUAAAAGCAGCGAGUUUGCUAUAAGUUGAUAUUUUCAAGUUUAUUUUUAAAAUUUUAACUAUCAAUAUAAAAACUUUUAUAUCAUAUUUUAGGUAGAUUCAUCAAUAUUACUUGAUUGAACAACUAGACAAAUGACUUGGUUUUGACAGGCCUAUGUGAAUUUUUGGUCAUUUUUGAUAAGGAAAUAUGACAUCACAACUCAAAAUUGAGUGUAGAAAAUAAGACGGAUGAACUAUAAUUUCACGCUCAAUAAUGAUGUGAAUAUCACAAUCACACUACUUGCCUUUUCAGAGGAAUAAUUAUGAUAUAUUCAAUUGUUGAGCCUUCUACAUGCUUCAGGUCGAGCAUUUUAAGGCAGAACUCAUCAUUGGGUGUCGCCAUGGGCCCGCUGCGAGGAAGGGCCAUGGAGAGGGGUGGAGAGGCGCAGACUGGGCGCGUAAGCGCCCCGAGGAGGAAGAGGGCGGUAGCAGGGUUAGAGAGGGAACCAAGGAAGCACCAAGUACAGCGCCAGGCUCCAAGCAAGUCUGGCAGAUUGCAAAUUUACCCCUUUUUCCAGUUUAUUUUAUUGUAAACACAAAAGUACAAAGAUUAGGUAGGUAGCAGAGGGGGUUGAAUUAUAUACAAAGGGGGCAAACAAGGCAUCAUAAAGCAGUAGGGGUGAGGAGGGAGGAAAAAUGAGGGGUAUUUACGGAACAAUGAGAAAAAGAAACAUGAAGGGAGGGCAGAUUAAUUCAAGGAGGAGGGAGAGGGCUAUUAACAAUAUGAAUGAAAGAAAAGCGUUUAAUGGGAAUGGAGGAAAGGGGUAUUUACAAAAGGUGGAAGCUGGAGAGGGAGGAAACUGGGUAUUACCAGGAAGGGGAGGGGGAAGGAUAGUGGAGAGUGGGAUAUGUUCAUGGUUCAGGGAGUUGUGUUGGGUGUGUUGGUGUGUGUCUAGUAGGUUGAGGGGUGAGUGGUUGGGAAGAGGAGAGAGGUGAGUGAGGGUUGUGGGGGAGAGAGGGGGUCCUAAGUGGAGGUGUCACUGUCGGAGCUAGAAUGGGGGAUGUUGGAGGGGACGAAUCGAUUGGAAUGGGUGGCAAAGUCGAGGGUGAGGGCCCAGGCUUUGCUGGAAGAGAAGAGCUGAGGGAGGAAGUAGGGAUGAGACCGAGGUUGGUUAGGCAAUUUUGGAAAAAGGUAGCGCGGAGGAAGUCGAGGUCAGGACAGUCAAAGAAAAUGUGUUCUAUAGUUUCAGGAGCUUGGUUGCAGUGAGGAUAGGUGGGGUCAAAGGGGGGAGGGGUCUUCCUAUGAGGGUUGGCGGCUAUGAAGGUGUGGCCAGUGAUAAGACCGGUGGCUAUGGCAGAGCUUGGUAGAAGAAAGCUAUGGGAGGAGGAGAGGGAGCUGGGGGUGAGGCCGAGUCUGAGAAAGAAGCUGGGCCUGGCCGAGAUGAAUUCGUCUUCCCAGAGAGACCAAAAGUGAUGGGAGAGGAACUUGUGGUGAGUAGUUUUGGAAGCAAGAGCGUAUUUCGGCGAGAGAGAGGGGGCGACGGUGGCUCCUUUGGCUAACGAGUCAGCUAGGCAGUUGCCGAAGUUACCGGAGUGACCUUUGACCCAGUGGAGGGUGAGGUUGCGGGAGGGGAGGAGGGAGUAAAGGAGGGCUUGGCACUUGGCAACGAGAGGGUGAGGGGAGUGGGGGAAAGACAGGGCAGAAAGGAGAGAGAGGCAGUCGGAGGAGAUGGCGGCGGAGAGGGAGGGGGGAAGGCUGCUAAGAUAGGUAAGGGCGGUUUAGAAGGCGAAGCAUUCCGCCUGGAAAACGGAGCAGUGGGAGGCCAGGGGGAUGGAGAGGUCGAGGGGGGGGGGGGGGGGGGGGGAAGCGAGAGGAGAGGGGAGAAGAGGAGAUCCUGGCUAUGCCGGCCCCGACGCCGCUGCGCGACUUGGAGCCGUCGGUGUAGUAGUCGAAGUCGGGAGCGGAGGGGGGAAGGAGCGAGAAGGAGAGGUCUGGGAGGAGAGGAGGGGAGGGGAAGUGGAAUGGGGGAGGGGGGGUUUCGGGAGUGAAGGGGAGAGGCUCGGGGGGGCGAAGGAGGGAAGAGAGGAAGAGGACCUUGAGGUCCAGGGGAAGGACGCGGAGAAGGGCAAUGGCGGUGAGGGUAGGGACUGUGCGGAACCCCCGAAUGACGUGGAUGCAGAAUUUGCGUUGGAUGGAACGGAGGCUCGCUUUACCGACGCGGAGUUUGACUGCUUCGCACCAGAUGGGGGCGGCGUAGGUGAUGGCUGGUUCGACGACUCCGCUGUAGAAGCGUCUCCUCGCGAUGUAGCCGAGCCCGGAGACGGCGUUGGAGCAUUGGGAGAUCCUGCCGAGGAGGGAAGAGGCCUUAUCGCAGACUCGGUAGAGGUGAGGGGUGAAGGAAAGGCGAUCGCCGAAAGUAACGCCCAAGAUGGUGAGGGUUUCGGGACAGGAGAGGGGGGUGUUGUCUAUGAGGAGAUGGGGAGGGUUGCAGUAAAUAGGGAGGACCAGUGACUUAUGUGGGGUGAGGGAGAGCUUGUUGUCCAGGCACCAAGAGUGAAUGAGGUCUAGGGAGGACUGAGCUAGAGAAGGGAGGCUGUUGGGGGGGCCUGAGACGAGGAUCUGAAUGUCGUCUGCGAAGGCCUAAACGUGGACGCCGUGGGGGAAGGGGAGGGAGAGAAUGGGGUUAAAGAAUAUGUUCCAGAGCAGGGGACCGCUGAUGGAGCCCUGAGCGCAUCCCCGCGAGGGAGAGGUGGAGCGAGAGAAUCCUCGAUAGGAGAAGUGGAUAGAGCGGUUGGAAAGGAAAGAGCGGUAAAGUUGGAGGAGGGCGGGGGGGGCAGGAGGCGGCGACAAGUCGACCGAAAAGGGCGGGAUGCCACAGGUGGUCGAAGGCUGAUUUGAUAUCAAGGCUAAUGAGGAGACAGCACUGGUAUUUGGAGAUGGACAGUUUGAUUUUUUGAUGGAGAAGGGAAAGAGCGUCGGUGGUAGAGCGCCUUCGUCGGAAGCCGAAUUGGUGAGGGUGGAGCAGGUGGUUGCUCUCGAAAUGGUGAGAGAGUCGGAAGGCCAUAAGGCUUUCGAGUAGCUUGCUGAGAAUGGGGAGAAUUAUAAUGGGUCGGCAUUUAUGGUUGAAGUCGGUGGAGGAGGAGCAUUUAGGGAGGAGGAGGAGGCGACCCACUUUCCAAAGGGUGGGGAAGUGUCCGACGGAGAAGCUGGGGGGAGAGCUGUUUUGAGCGGAGCGGCGAAGCUUGCGUGAGAGUGAUUUAAGAGAUUGCAGUUGGGGGGACCACCAGGGGACGGGAGGGGGAAAGUUAGUGGAAGGAGGGCGGGGGCGGAGGUGCUGGUGGCAGUUGAGGAAUAGGAUAGAGUAGAAGGAUUGAAGUAGAGAGUCGAGAGAGUCUGAUGAGGUGCAGUGGCCAAGGGCUAGGAUAAGAGAGCCGGAGUUGGUUAGGGAUCUGGCGAGAGAGUUAAAGAGGGACAAAGGAGGCUGGGAGGGAAAGCGGAGGGGAGAGAAGUCGGGGAAAGGGGAAGGAGGGGGAGGAGGAGAAGAGGGGAUGGUGUCAGGAGGGAGGGAAAGAGAGAAGCGGAUCUCGUAGUGGUCGGUAGGGUAGGAGGUCCAGCCAGAAACAGAGGAGAGGAGGGAGGAAGAGACACUGGAGAUGUCAAUGGAGGAGGAGCUGGAGCCCUGGGAGCGGGUGAUAGCUCCCCGGGUGUUGCAAACCUUAAGGUCGAGGGCAUCGAGGAGGUUGAUGUAGUUGCCUUUGGAGUUUGGUUUUUGGCAGCUCCAGCGAGGGGAAACGGCAUUGACAUCUCCAGCGAAGAGAAGGCGAGGGGGGGAGGGGAGCCAAAGAGGGAGAUAAAGGAGUCGAUGAUGGGGGAGUAAGAAGUUGAAUAAUUAUGAUAUUUAAACAAAUUUAUUGUACUAUACACAUGGAAAUUUUGCUGAAGGAAAUUGAUCUAUAAAAAUAAAAGUCGCCUCUCCCUGCAAAAUAGACACUGAAAAUAAUAUAGAUUAGUUUUAACAUAUUUUGACAGAAACCUUUAUUUUUAUUGCACUACAUGUAAAUUAUGUUUCGAUUAUAGUUGUCAGAAAGGAAUUGAGGUAUAUUGGUGUUAAUUUUGUCCACUAAUCUAGUGUGAAUAAAAUAUUUUAGAGUAGAUUUUUUCAGAAUUGAAAACUGAUUUCUCUCUCUCUACAGUAAUGAUUAAAGCAUAUGAUGUCUUGCUGACUCAUCAAUUGUGCAUUGUAAGGCAGUUGAGUAAUUUAUCCUGUUAUUUAUAUAGAGUUCCCUUGUCCAUGGGGUGAGGGUGCCUCUAUAAUUAUCAUGUGAGGAGCCUUUUGGAAAUGUAUUCUACAAGAAACACUACGAUUUAUUUUGGACUCUGAACCAUUGAUAUUGGCCCUGGGAUGA
rnacentral:piRNA from 1 species